rnacentral:misc_RNA from 1 species
CACAAAAAAUAUGCAGGCUGUACGCCGCCGUGCCCUCUCGGGGGCUAGUGGCAAAGGCUGAAAUAUUUUUCACCCAUGUCUUUUGCGCACUUGUUGUUUCCUGGGCGGGCUCGCCCGCCACCAGGACCACACCUUAAACCUUUUUUUAUGCAGUUGCAAUCAGCGUCAGUAUAACAAAUGUAAAAUCAUUUA